rnacentral:rRNA from 1 species
AUUGAACGCUGGCGGCAUGCCUUACACAUGCAAGUCGAACGGCAGCGCGGACUUCGGUCUGGCGGCGAGUGGCGAACGGGUGAGUAAUACAUCGGAACGUACCCUGUUGUGGGGGAUAACUAGUCGAAAGAUUAGCUAAUACCGCAUACGACCUGAGGGUGAAAGUGGGGGACCGCAAGGCCUCACGCAGCAGGAGCGGCCGAUGUCUGAUUAGCUAGUUGGUGGGGUAAAGGCCCACCAAGGCGACGAUCAGUAGCUAGUCUGAGAGGACGAUCAGCCACACUGGGACUGAGACACGGCCCAGACUCCUACGGGAGGCAGCAGUGGGGAAUAUUGGACAAUGGGGGCAAGCCUGAUCCAGCAAUGCCGCGUGUGUGAAGAAGGCCUUCGGGUUGUAAAGCACUUUUGUCCGGAAAGAAAUCGCGCUGGUUAAUACCUGGCGUGGAUGACGGUACCGGAAGAAUAAGCACCGGCUAACUACGUG